UACGUAGGGGGCGAGCGUUGUCCGGAAUCAUUGGGCGUAAAGCGCGUGUAGGCGGCCCGGUAAGUCCGCUGUGAAAGUCCAGGGCUCAACCCUGGGAUGCCGGUGGAUACUGUCGGGCUCGAGUCCGGAAGAGGCGAGUGGAAUUCCUGGUGUAGCGGUGAAAUGCGCAGAUAUCAGGAGGAACACCGGUGGCGAAGGCGGCAUCCUGGACCAACACUGACGCUGAGGAGCGAAAGCCAGGGGAGCAAACGGG
rnacentral:rRNA from 1 species